rnacentral:lncRNA from 1 species
GAAUGUAGUGAACAGGAUGGGGAGGGAGAAUAGUGUAACUGCAAGGACAGUGCAAAAGAAUCCAAGGCAGUACUCAAGGUGUGAUGUAAUAAGGGGGCUGGAGCUGGCAAUGGAAAUGGUAAGAUUAGAAAGCUAUAAGUUAUUGCAAAAGAAGAACUAGGAUUUGGCUUCCUGAUUUGGGGAAGAAGAAGGGAGGGAGGAGCCAAAACUCUUCAUGUUUUGGGCAUGGGUAACCGGAAAACAGAUAACACUAAUAGAAAUGAGGAUGUCAUGAGGUACAGCUACUUCCUGGAAAAGGUGAUGAGUUCAGUUUUAAGCUUGAAUUUGAGGUAAUUUUAGGAAAAUGGGGGUGGUGAAAGGAGAUAUUAAAACUGGAAAGACAGACUUGGUGAUCAGUUGAAUAAAAGGGUUGAGAAAUGGGAGUGCAUAAACCUUUUAAGGGAGAGCAACCCUAGAGAACAGCCAACCUGAGAGUUUGGCUCUACUUAGAAUGUCAAAAUAUUUCACUCUUUUGUUAAAAUAUGUUAAGUGAAAACACAGUGGAUAACACCAAGAUAUUUUUCUUGUCUCUUCAAGAUACGCCAUUUCAGUUGCUCGAAAGAUCGGUGCCCGGAUAUAUGCAUUACCUGAUGACCUCGUAGAAGUGAAACCAAAGAUGGUUAUGACGGUGUUUGCAUGCUUAAUGGGAAAAGGACUGAACAGAAUAAAAUAAUCAUUUCAUAUGAUUUUCUGCCACAUUAAACAUAUUGUAUGCCUCACAGUUUACAGGAUUCUGAAAUGUAGUGGGUGUAAAACCAGAGAUUAUUUGUAUGCUCAAAAUAGUUAUAUAUUCAUUAAUGAAUUCAAUAUCCUGUUCAUACUAGUUAGAGCUGGUCAGCCUUUUUGGGUAACACAGGUAAUUUACCAACUGAUACAGAUAAUAGAAUAUAUUCAUAAUCAACCUGAUACUUCAUGAUUAAAUGAUUUUUGUUGCUUAAAAGUCAUAUUAGACAAGACUAAAUCAUUCUUUGUUAUGGUUCAAAAAAGAUGAAUACAAACGUUUUUGCAGGUUCUGCUGUGAAAUGUGGUUUGAUUUUUUUGGUGUGUUAAUUUUGAUCAUAAAUGCAUUCAUACUCAUAAUCCAGUUUAAUCCUUUUAUUUGCUUCCUCCAACUAUUUAAAGUGGUCCAAAAACACUUUUCUGUAAGUUUCUAUACUGUCUAAAACCUUAUGGUGACCAGAAUUGUUUAUUAAUAUCAAACUUUUUUAUAUAUGAGAACUAAUUCUUGAAUAAACCCCAAAGUUCACUCUCUUAUUUAAGUAGCAGCAGCUUUUUACUUAAAAUUUAAUUUUAACUACAUUGAUACUUUACAUAUCCUAGUUUGGUAACACAGCUUUAACUAUGUCAUGCAACAUAUAUAUGUUGGUAGGAUGUUAUUAGAGAGAUAUGUGUGCAUAUAUAUUUUUUUGCACCUGAAUCACCCAGCUUUUCAUAAGUGGUAUGUUUAAUUGGUCAUUCAGCCAACCAUCAGUAUUUUUCCCCCACAACAUGUGUAACACUUUUCAGUCUGUGGAUAUCUGAUACGUUAAGAUUUCUUUUUGUAAGUAUUCAUUUUGAAUGUGCAUAUAGUUAUUUGACCC